rnacentral:rRNA from 1 species
CCUACGGGAGGCAGCAGUGGGGAAUAUUGGACAAUGGGCGAAAGCCUGAUCCAGCAAUGCCGCGUGAGUGAUGAAGGCCUUAGGGUUGUAAAGCUCUUUUACCAGGGAUGAUAAUGACAGUACCUGGAGAAUAAGCUCCGGCUAACUCCGUGCCAGCAGCCGCGGUAAUACGGAGGGAGCUAGCGUUGUUCGGAAUUACUGGGCGUAAAGCGUACGUAGGCGGUUAUUCAAGUCAGAGGUGAAAGCCUGGAGCUCAACUCCAGAACUGCCUUUGAAACUAGAUAGCUAGAAUCUUGGAGAGGUGAGUGGAAUUCCGAGUGUAGAGGUGAAAUUCGUAGAUAUUCGGAAGAACACCAGUGGCGAAGGCGACUCACUGGACAAGUAUUGACGCUGAGGUACGAAAGCGUGGGGAGCAAACAGGAUUAGAUACCCUGGUAGUCCACGCCGUAAACGAUGAUAACUAGCUGUUCGGGCUCUACGAGCUUGAGUGGCGCNGCUACGCAUAAGUUAUCCGCCGUGGGAGGUACGGUCGCGAGAUAAACUACAAGAAGUAGACGCGNGAGACGNGCGACGGACGACGACGAGGGAGGAGG